AAUUUGGAAUGAUACUUUGAGCAUUUGUUUCACUACCUAUACAGAUUUUUAUCACUUGCUCUCCCAUUUGAGCCUAUGAAAAGAAUAAUUUCGUUUCAGAUAAGAGCCCUAAUGAUCACUACCCUAUAUUGGAAAAUUUUCAAAUAUCAAAUAGGGGAAUGGAUUUUCAAUAACCGUUUCGUUACUUUGGUUGUCAUGAGGUGUAAGAAUGAUGCUUUGGCCGUCGUUUCUACAACCUAAACACUGAUCACCCCUUGCAUCCCCAUUUUGAGCUAAAAUUGGUGGUUCUUUUCUAAUGCACUCAUGGUCGUACCCCACAUUGGGGAGGGAGAUUGGAGAAUUUUCAAAAAAAAAAAAACAAAAAAGGAAAAAGGGAAAAGGGAAAAAGCAAAAAUGCUAGAAUAAGGAGGGAACUGCAAAUUGGGGAAAUUUGAUUCCACUUGGGUUCCAAGUUUGAAAAAAGAAAAGGAAGGGUUUUUGUCCAUGUGAAUCGCCUAUGUUUCACAAAUAUGGAUGAGUAAGGGUCUUCCUCAGUCAAUUAAUUCAGAUACACGCAAAAAUUUCGCAUUAACGAAAGUUUCCUUUCAGAGUUGUUGUAAGGAACAGAAUACAAGUCAGGCUAUCUUCUUUUCCAAUCGAACACUUUAUCCCUAGUUAUCCCUUUUGAGCCAUCAGAAUAAAUUAUUUCGUUUGGCAACCCCUGAGAAUCGCAAACCCCACACUGGGGGCGAGUUUGAGUUGAAAAGAAAAUUUCAAAAAAGUGAAAAGCAACAAGAUCAAAAACAAAAGAAGAAAAGAGAACCUCAGUUC
rnacentral:lncRNA from 1 species